rnacentral:sRNA from 1 species
GCCUAGCCCCGAUAGUAACGGCAUCCUUUUUUGUCUUUUGGAAAUGUUCUAGUAAUGACAAACUGCCGAAGACAAAAAAGAUAUAGUGGAUAGCGGGAUUAAGC